rnacentral:lncRNA from 1 species
UUGCAUGUUGCCUUAAUUUGAUCCAUAAUUAAUAAGUCGAUGGAAAUAGCCAAACGCAUGAAGCCAUGGUCAUUUUCCUUCCAAAUAUAUAAACAAACUAAAUCAUAAGUUUUGAACCUUUAUUUAGUUAUUUAUAAUGUUUAAUCUUCCGUUUGUUAAAAGGUUUGUUGGGAGUACUUCAAAGUAUUUUCCUUUUUUUUCCUUUUAUUUUUUUACUAUUUGAUCACUAAUAAAUAUUUUUUUUUAUACAAACGAUAUUGAUAGAGAAGGAAAUCGAAUCUAAGACCUAAAAUGCAUGAUAAAUGUUCUUAACCACUUAAGUUACAAGUCUCUUACUUGUAAGUGUUCAAUCACUAAUAUUGUAGAUAGUAAUAACGACAUAUAUGUAUCAUCUUUUAUUGACUACCUCUUGAUUUCAUAUACACAUACAUAUAUUUAUUAGAGAGGUGAGGUGGUCAGCAAAUGUUUUUCCACUCCAAAUCACUCAUGUAUAUUUCAUCCGCACACGAUAGUAAUAAAAAUCUUCUGAUAACUUGUCAGCAUCAUAUCAUCUAAUAUCUGAAAUUUAGAAUUUAUUUGGGAUCUUUCUAAUCCAACGUAAUCCAAAUAUCACCAGAC